rnacentral:rRNA from 1 species
UACGGGGGGGGCAAGCGUUGUUCGGAAUUACUGGGCGUAAAGGGUGCGUAGGCGGUCUGUUAAGUUAGAUGUGAAAACUCUGGGCUCAACCCAGAGCCUGCAUCUAAAACUGGCAGGCUAGAGUUCUGGAGGGGGUAGCGGAAUUCCUGGUGUAGCGGUGAAAUGCGUAGAUAUCUGGAGGAACACCGGUGGCGAAGGCGGCAGUCCUGGACCAACACUGACGCUGAGGAGCGAAAGCCAGGGGAGCAAAGCGGGG